rnacentral:rRNA from 1 species
GAUGAACGCUGGCGGCGUGCCUAAUACAUGCAAGUCGAGCGAACAGACUAGGAGCUUGCUCCUCUGACGUUAGCGGCGGACGGGUGAGUAACACGUGGAUAACCUACCUAUAAGACUGGGAUAACUUCGGGAAACCGGAGCUAAUACCGGAUAAUAUAUUGAACCGCAUGGUUCAAUAGUGAAAGACGGUUUUGCUGUCACUUAUAGAUGGAUCCGCGCCGCAUUAGCUAGUUGGUAAGGUAACGGCUUACCAAGGCAACGAUGCGUAGCCGACCUGAGAGGGUGAUCGGCCACACUGGAACUGAGACACGGUCCAGACUCCUACGGGAGGCAGCAGUAGGGAAUCUUCCGCAAUGGGCGAAAGCCUGACGGAGCAACGCCGCGUGAGUGAUGAAGGUCUUCGGAUCGUAAAACCCUGUUAUUAGGGAAGAACAAAUGUGUAAGUAACUAUGCACGUCUUGACGGUACCUAAUCAGAAAGCCACGGCUAACUACGUG